AAUUUGAGAAAGCAUAGAUUAUAACUAUAUCAUAUAAUAUGAGAAUAUUACAUAAAUGAACAACGAAGCUGUUUGGAGCUUUGCUCCAUUACACUGCAACCCAUUUGGGACAUUCCGAUGAAAAGUGCUGAGUGGGGUGCCUGGUUCCAAACUGAAAUAUAACAGAGGUUCUGUCUUUUUGUGCACAUAUUACUAUUUUCCAGUCCCCCAUCAAAUUUCAUAUGGAUCACCAUUGAGAAGGCCCAACUGAGAGUAAGCACAACAUGGUUAUCUGCAAUUUUCAACAUAACACAGAUGGACAUAUAUGGAUGGAUUAUUUUAGUAAUGAAUUGCACUUCUUACCUUAUCUACAGAAUUAUUCAGUCCAUUUUCAUGAACAUCAGCAAUCAAACCUGUGGAAUGUAUU